rnacentral:rRNA from 1 species
CUGCCUACGGACGCAGCAGUGGGGAAUAUUGCACAAUGGGGGAAACCCUGAUGCAGCAACGCCGCGUGAGUGAAGAAGUAUUUCGGUAUGUAAAGCUCUAUCAGCAGGGAAGAGAAUGACGGUACCUGACUAAGAAGCCCCGGCUAACUACGUGCCAGCAGCCGCGGUAAUACGUAGGGGGCGAGCGUUAUCCGGAUUUACUGGGUGUAAAGGGAGCGUAGACGGUUCUGCAAGUCUGAAGUGAAAGCCCGUGGC